rnacentral:rRNA from 1 species
UGGGGAAUAUUGCACAAUGGGGGAAACCCUGAUGCAGCGACGCCGCGUGAACGAAGAAGGUAUUCGUAUCGUAAAGUUCUGUCCUAUGGGAAGAUAAUGACAGUACCAUAGAAGAAAGCUCCGGCUAAAUACGUGCCAGCAGCCGCGGUAAUACGUAUGGAGCGAGCGUUGUCCGGAAUUAUUGGGCGUAAAGGGUACGCAGGCGGUUUAAUAAGUCGAAUGUUAAAGAUCGGGGCUCAACCCCGUAAAGCAUUGGAAACUGAUAAACUUGAGUAGUGGAGAGGAAAGUGGAAUUCCUAGUGUAGUGGUGAAAGACGUAGAUAUUAGGAGGAAUACCAGUAGCGAAGGAGACUUUCUGGACACAAACUGACGCUGAGGUACGAAAGCGUGGGGAGCAAACAGG